UUACUACUUCCUGAUAUUUAUAACACUGCUUUGCAUGUAUUAUCAUUGCAGUGUGGACAUGCAGUAUCGGUGAUAUAUAUUACAUUGCUUUGUCAUCAUCAUGUAUUAUCAUUGCAGUGUGGACAUGCAGUAUCGGUGAUAUAUAUUACAUUGCUUUGUCAUCACCAUGUAUUAUCAUUGCAGUGUGGACAUGCAGUAUCGGUGAUGUAUAUUACAUUGCUUUGUCAUCACCAUGUAUUAUCAUUGCAGUGUGGACAUGCAGUACCGGUGAUUUUUAUGUAUACCUGUGCU
rnacentral:lncRNA from 1 species